GCGUGUCGUGUAGCCUCUCUGGGCCUCGGGUGCAUUGUGCCAUGGGAGAUGGUGUGUGUAGACACCCAAGUGUGUCUGCUGUCUGAGUGGGUGAGCCGGGUCGGGGAUCCCAGGCGGAGGGAGAGGACUGGCAGUGGGGGACUCAGAGCACGGCGUCCCUCGCGCUGCGGUCCCAUCGCCCUGCUAUCCAGGCCGCGCAUACCCAUGUGAAUGUGUCCCGGUGACGUCUCAGGUGAUGAUGCUGUUGGAGAAGGAGACAGGUGCCCAGGGCUGCCUCUUUCCAGCUGGGUGACUUCUCCUUGGCAAGUAGGGGACGAUAGGGGCAUCUACAGAGGGUAUGUGACUGGUAAGUGAGCUGAUAAUGCUAAGUAAAUGACCACUCUUCUCCCUAAGUGCCACUGGUAAGUUCCAAAAGGGUAGGGACCGGCUCUGUGUCUGUACCUUGCUGUCACCCUCACGGUUGGGGGCUUUAUGCCUCUUGAUGGUGAUGCCCUCAUUCUGAUGUCUUUGCCAAGGCCUCUCAUCCUCUCCUAACAAGUCAACGUUAAUAGUCUAAGCCGGGGACCGGCGGAGUGGGGACAGAUCAUUUCCCUCCCAUCCAUGGAUGCUGUUUUGAGCACCGGGCGGGUGCAGAUUCUGAGACGGUACCUGGCCUCAGUGCUCGGAAACAGUGCUGUGAUUGAUUGGUGAUGUCUGAUGUCUGUCUGGGAUUGAUUGGUGAUGUCUGUAACUGUGAGACGCUUGUAUGCAGGAUGCGUGUGCUGCUUGGCUUUUACCAUCUCCUGCCAUCUAUCUUUAAGGGCUCACCAAGCCUACAGAUCAGAUUUUAGUCUGAGCAACGGAUAAAGAUUGAGCUCCCUCUCUCCAUGCUCUGCCGGACGGGGAGCGGAAGCUAAAGAACUACCUGGCCCCUUUCUGCCCGCAGGGAGCUUCCAGUCUCCUUUAACCGGGUCCUGACCACUUCCAGUGUCCUCUACUUCCUUCUGCUUUUCUCCUGGAGUCUAGACUGCCUCUCCCUUUACCAGCUGUUCUGCCCCAAAUAGCUAUUGUGUGCACUUGGCCCAACUCCCAAGAGCAAGUACUUAGGAAUUCUACAGAAAACACGUCACCUAAAAUACAGCUGAGCUUUCAAGACAAGCUAUGAGUGCUUUAGAGGAGUUAUAGCUGCUGGACAGCAGCAACUGGACAAUGACUCCCAGCUGGGCCGGCUGGGGUGUUUCUGCCCGGGUUUGCGCAAGCUUUCUGCGGCAUGUUGCCAAACCCAGCUCCCCAUGUUGCAAAGAUGUAUGGCAGUGCGGCAUUUCUCAGGGAUGGGAAGUAACGUGUGCAAGGAUGCCCCUACAAGUGGGUGUCUUGUCUCCGGUCAGCACCUUGCUGCUGCUGUGCUCAGAGCCGAGGCCCAGUAAGAAAGGGCGCUUUCCGAUUUGCCUCACCGUCUCCGGAACUUCCCUGGUGCUUAUGGACAAUUAAGUAGUGAGUAUGUGGGGGAGGGUGCUGACUCUCACUUGGUUGAUGACCGAUGGACUUUUGUGAGAAUCCCGCAUCGUCUUCCUGCCAGUCAGGCCACAGUGGUCUUAGUCUUGUUGAUACAGAGGACGGGAGAGGAGGAGGGAACAACGCUUAUUAAGCACCUACUGUAUGCCAAGCGAUACACUGAAAAACUGCGUGUAGUUUUCUUUUUUCAAGUUUUUAACGUUUAUUCAUUUUUAGAGAGAGAGAGAGAGAGAGACACACACAGCGUGAGUGGGGGAGGGGCAGAGAGAGAGGGAGACCCAGAAUCGGAAGCAGGCUCCAGGCUCCGAGCUGUCAGCACAGAGCCCGACGCGGGGCUCGAACCCACGGACCGCGAGAUCAUGACCUGAGCCGAAGUCGGACGCUCAACCGACGGAGCCGCCCAGGCGCCCCUACGUGUAGUUUUCUUGUUUAAUCCUCACAGAAGGUCUGUGUAGCAUGGUGAGCGAUGGAAGGAACAGGGGGGCUCAGCCAGAACCCUAGGUCAGAUCCUGGCCCCAGCACCUGCAUCUCAGUGACCUUGACUGAAUGGCUUUCUCUUUUUGAACCUCAGUCCCUCAUCCAUCAAAGGGACAUGAGAAUGCCUCAUCACAUAUUGAUGAAGAUAAGAGACAUUGCAUAUAAAGGACUUUUCCUGCAAGAGGCCUUCCAGUGCUGGUAGCUGCGUUUAUUUAUUUGUCCAAAUCAAGGGCUGGCCCACGCUGGCUUACAGCUUAAAAAAAAAAAAAAAAAAGCCAAAAUGUCAGGGCGCCUGGGUGACUCCAGUCGGUUAGGCGUCCGACUCUCGAUUUUGGCUCGGGUCACGAUCUCACAGUCAUGAGAUCGAGCCCCCGUCUGGCUCCACAUCAGCGUGGAGUGGAUCUGCUUACGAUUCUCUCUCUGUCUGCCCCUGUCCCGCUCGCUCGUGUGCGCCCACACAGGCACGUGCUCACGCACGCUCCCUCCCGAAAAAUAAUAUAUAUUUAUCAAAACUACAUUCAUAGUAUUAUUCUUUGCAUGUUGUGCGUAUGCUAAUUAUAUGCAUGUUCAUUAUACACACGUAUACAUGUGUAUAUAAUUUUCUUAUCAAGGUGAAAUUCGCGUAAUAUGAAAUUAACCAUUUUAAAGGGAACAACGCAGCGGCAUUUAGGACAUUCACAGUGCUGUACAACCAUCACCUCUGGUUGUGGAACGUUUCUAUCACCCCAAAAAGAAACCGCAUCCACAUGAGCAGCCACUCCCCACCCCGCCACCCCACCCCCCGCCCCUGGCAACCACCAAUCUGCUCGCUGUCUCUGUGGCUAUUCUCUUCUGGACGUUUUGGAUACACGGAAUCACACACUAUGGGACCACAGCAGCUUUGGCUGGGCUAAUAGCUAAGCGUGGUUUUUACAUUUAUGAAUGGUCGGGGGGAAACCAGAGGAUAUUUUAUGGUAUGUGAACAUCCUAUGAAAAUUGAAUUUCAUAGGUGUCCGCACCUAUGUUUUAUUGGCACGCAGCCAUGCCCGGUAGUGGAUAUAUUAAGACUAUGUCCAGGAGGAGAUAGGUGGUCUGCAAGCAGAAAAUACUGAAUGUCUGGCCUGAAGCUUAGAGAAGCUGGUUCCACAGGGAGAAGCCAGCGGGACUGCCUUUGGACCCCAGAGUCUGAACUGGCUCCCCAGUCCAUCGCCGCCUCUCAGUGUGCACUUAAUAGACAUUUAUGGAAUUCUUCUUACUGGCCAGCUGUUUCCCGGAAUAAGCUGGUCCCCGCCCGUGCUCGUUUCUCAGGUGUCUAUACUGGGGUGAAUCUGAAGACAGAUCUUUGGAUCUGUGAUCUUUGGAUCAGUGGUCUGGAUGUUCAACAUCAGGGAUGUCUCAAGCACCUGGUCAUAAAAGUUAAUGGAGCCCCCCCUUCUCGUGUCUGGAGUCGCCAGAUGGAACACGGACGCCCAGUGAAAUCUGAAUGUCAGAUAGACAAGAAAUGACGUUUUCAUGCAGCAUCAUUCUCCGUGGAGGGGCCGUCCCGCACACUGGAGGGUGUUGAGCCUUGUCCCUGGGUCUCCACCACCAGAUGCCAGCUGGCUCCCCCACUCGUGACCACCGAAAACAUCUUCAAGUUUUCCCCCAUGGCAGGGGUGGGCGCGGGGGCGGCCCGAAGAGAGACCCUCGGUCUAACCAUGGGGGGUAGAGCUGUUCCUCAGAGCUGAGAUUUGCAUUUCCAGCAAAUUCUGGGGCCCUGCUUGGUAGUCGGCCCCCUCCCCAGCUCUGGGAAGGAAAUCUCUUCUCACCGUCACUGUCACCAGCAGGCAUGAAAGAUAUUGGACGUUUGCAAUUUAAUAAGAAAAAUGCGAGCUCCGCUGGCCCAGGGGAGCCUUGCACUCAGCGAUCUGUGCUGUUUACCUCAAACAAUGACUUAUGAACCACAGAGGGUUCGUCCCAUGCCGGUGUGUGCAGGGCAAGAAAAACCAGAGGGGCGGUCAGCUCUCCCAGCCUGACUCAUGAGCCGCUGUGCCGGGAACAUGGCCAAGGCCUGACUCAUGGCCUGCAAUGUCACACCUGCGCCUGUGGCCUCGGGGGACAGUGCCCCUCUGAGAAAAUAGUGGCUAAACCCAUGGCAAUCAGGUCUGACCCUUGGAAGCCGUGCGGGACCCCUGAUGGCCUUGAACACGCAGGAGGCCUGGGCCGUUUGUUAGGAGGGAGGCUGAAUCAGCCGUGGAGGGUGGUGCUGGGCAGAGACCCCUGGAGAAAGGGGGAGGGGAGGGGAGUUUCAGAUAUGCACCUUCUGGCUCUGUGUAUUUCUUUUUAACUAUUUAUUUAUUUAUUAAAAAAAAAUUUUUUUUAACGUUUAUUUAUUUUUGAGACAGACAGAGCAUGAAUGGGGGAGGGACAGAGAGAGAGGGAGACACAGAAUGGGAAGCAGGCUCCAGGCUCUGAGCCAUCAGCCCAGAGCCCGACGCGGGGCUCGAACUCACGGACCGCGAGAUCGUGACCUGAGCUGAAGUCGGACGCUUAACCGACUGAGCCACCCAGGCGCCCCUCUUUUUAACUUUUUAAAAAAUCGCGGUGACAGUCAUAUACCAUAAAAUCCACCUGUCUUAGUCCGUUUGCGGUGCUGUGGCAAAUUACCACGGACUGGGUGGCUUAAACAGAAAUUCGUUUCUCCAAGUUCUGGAGGCGAGAAGUCCAAGAUCUAGAUGCUGGCAGAUGUCCUUACUUGGCAGAAGCUCUGUGGGUUCUUCUUCUUCUUCUUCUU